UACGAAGGGGGGCUAGCGUUGCUCGGAAUCACUGGGCGUAAAGCGCACGUAGGCGGAUUGCUAAGUCAGGGGUGAAAUCCUGGAGCUCAACUCCAGAACUGCCUUUGAUACUGGCGACCUUGAGUCCGGGAGAGGUGAGUGGAACUGCGAGUGUAGAGGUGAAAUUCGUAGAUAUUCGCAAGAACACCAGUGGCGAAGGCGGCUAUCUGGACGGUUUCUGACGCUAAGACGCGAAAGCGUGGGGAGCAAACAGG
rnacentral:rRNA from 1 species